GACGAACGCUGGCGGCGUGCUUAACACAUGCAAGUCGAACGGAAAGGCCCUGCUUUUGUGGGGUGCUCGAGUGGCGAACGGGUGAGUAACACGUGAGUAACCUGCCCUUGACUUUGGGAUAACUUCAGGAAACUGGGGCUAAUACCGGAUAGGAGCUCCUGCUGCAUGGUGGGGGUUGGAAAGUUUCGGCGGUUGGGGAUGGACUCGCGGCUUAUCAGCUUGUUGGUGGGGUAGUGGCUUGCCAAGGCUUUGACGGGUAGCCGGCCUGAGAGGGUGACCAGCCACAUUGGGACUGAGAUACGGCCCAGACUCCUACGGGAGGCAGCAGUGGGGAAUAUUGCACAAUGGGCGGAAGCCUGAUGCAGCAACGCCGCGUGCGGGAUGACGGCCUUCGGGUUGUAAACCGCUUUCGCCUGUGACGAAGCGUGAGUGACGGUAAUGGGUAAAGAAGCACCGGCUAACUACGUG
rnacentral:rRNA from 1 species